rnacentral:rRNA from 1 species
GACGAACGCUGGCGGCGUGCUUAACACAUGCAAGUCGAACGUGAUUUUUGUGGAAAUUCUUUCGGGAAUGGAAAUGAAAUGAAAGUGGCGAACGGGUGAGUAACACGUGAGCAACCUACCUUACACAGGGGGAUAGCCGUUGGAAACGACGAUUAAUACCGCAUGAGACCACAGAAUCGCAUGAUAUAGGGGUCAAAAAUUUAUCGGUGUAAGAAGGGCUCGCGUCUGAUUAGCUAGUUGGAAGGGUAAAGGCCUACCAAGGCGACGAUCAGUAGCCGGUCUGAGAGGAUGAACGGCCACAUUGGAACUGAGACACGGUCCAAACUCCUACGGGAGGCAGCAGUGGGGAAUAUUGCACAAUGGGGGGAACCCUGAUGCAGCGACGCCGCGUGAGCGAAGAAGGUUUUCGAAUCGUAAAGCUCUGUCCUAUGAGAAGAUAAUGACGGUAUCAUAGGAGGAAGCCCCGGCUAAAUACGUG